AAUCGGUGACUCCCGCCGAAAAUUUUCCGCGUCGAGUCUCGGGAUGCUUUCUCGGGUUCGUCGCACGUAUAUGGAUCGCUGCCAAACUCGGCACGUUCGCUCCACUCCUUCUUACCUUUAUCUCGAACGGAAAGCCGGCAGCGGGAGGACGUGACCGUGAAUUCUAAAGAGCACCAGGGACCAAGGACGCAUCUGUGGUGUUCAAGUGAUUCGCAAAGAGAGCAACGGGCACGACAUCGUGUCAGGGCCAUGAUCAGCCGGAGGCCGACCAAUUGGAAACUGGGACUCGCGGAUUUCACGAGUGUUUCCCCGCUAUAAGUAUUAGUCCUUUAUGCCAUAAGACCUCGUUGAGCGCGGGGGCUACGCUCCAAAGAAACCGAGCGCUAAAUGAAACGACGUUAAACGAGGUCAUCCUGACGCGUAAAUAAUGGAGAUAGCUGAAACAGGAUGGUUCUAUAUGUCUGGAUUUAAUGGUGUUUAUAGAUUAAAGUUAGUUGAUGUGUGUCCUUAAAAAUGUUCAACUUGAAGUGCUUGUUUUAUUGGACUUUAUUUUAUAGCAUUUGUUAAAAAUACUUAAAAAUAUGAAGUCUGUCUUUGAGGUUUUCAUUUUUUUUCAAUUUAAAACAUUUGUAAUCAUACAGAAAUAUUGUAUGUUGCGUGACCAGGUCGUGUGUAUUGUUUCUUCAAAUUGUAUUUUCGUGAGAUCUCGUAUCACUUUAUAUUUGACUAUGAAAACAUGGUCUGACUCAUUUGGUUUUCCUAAUAAGAUUGCGACGCUACCUGAGAAUGUUAUAUGUAUAACUGUCUCUGCAGCAUAUUUCUUUCAAUUUUUUGCGUUACGAAUGUAUAUGCUAAUAGAAUUAAUUUAGAGUAUUACAUACUAUUUCACGAUAAUCUCAUUACCAUUAGUGGUCAAUUUGUUUUUUCAUUAGUAUUACACAUACCUUUA